UACGGGGGGGGGCAAGCGUUGUUCGGAAUUACUGGGCGUAAAGCGCGCGUAGGCGGCUCUUCAAGUCGAGUGUGAAAGCUCCAGGCUUAACCUGGGAAUUGCGCUCGAUACUGUUGAGCUAGAGUGUGGAAGGGGCUACUGGAAUUCCGUGUGUAGCGGUGAAAUGCGCAGAUAUCAAGGAGGAACACCGGUGGCGAAGGCGGGACUC
rnacentral:rRNA from 1 species